CACGUAGGGGGCAAGCGUUGUCCGGAUUUAUUGGGCGUAAAGAGCUCGUAGGUGGUUCGGUAAGUCGGGUGUUAAACCCCCAGGCUCAACCUGGGGACGCCACUCGAUACUGCUGUGACUUGAGUCCGGUAGGGGAGCGUGGAAUUCCUGGUGUAGCGGUGAAAUGCGCAGAUAUCAGGAGGAACACCAGCGGCGAAGGCGGCGCUCUGGGCCGGUACUGACGCUGAGACGCGAAAGCGUGGGGAGCAAACAGG
rnacentral:rRNA from 1 species